UACGUAGGGGGCAAGCGUUGUCCGGAUUUAUUGGGCGUAAAGAGCGUGUAGGCGGCCAGGUAGGUCCGCUGUGAAAACUCGAGGCUCAACCUCGAGACGUCGGUUGAAACCGUUUGGCUAGAGUCCGGAAGAGGAGAGUGGAAUUCCCGGUGUAGCGGUGAAAUGCGCAGAUAUCGGGAAGAACACCCGUGGCGAAGGCGGCUCUCUGGGACGGUACUGACGCUGAGACGCGAAAGCGUGGGGAGCGAACAGG
rnacentral:rRNA from 1 species